GUGGGGAAUCUUGCGCAAUGGGCGAAAGCCUGACGCAGCCAUGCCGCGUGAAUGAUGAAGGUCUUAGGAUUGUAAAAUUCUUUCACCGGGGACGAUAAUGACGGUACCCGGAGAAGAAGCUCCGGCUAACUUCGUGCCAGCAGCCGCGGUAAUACGAAGGGGGCUAGCGUUGCUCGGAAUUACUGGGCGUAAAGGGCGCGUAGGCGGACAGCUUAGUCAGAGGUGAAAGCCCAGGGCUCAACCUUGGAAUUGCCUUUGAUACUGGCUGUCUUGAGUUUGGGAGAGGUGAGUGGAACUCCGAGUGUAGAGGUGAAAUUCGUAGAUAUUCGGAAGAACACCAGUGGCGAAGGCGACUCACUGGCCCAAUACUGACGCUGAGGCGCGAAAGCGUGGUGAGCAAACAGGAUUAGAUACCCCUGUAGUCC
rnacentral:rRNA from 1 species